rnacentral:lncRNA from 1 species
GCAUAAGGAAGUUCCUAGGCUAGGGGUCAAACUGGAGCCAAAGCUGCUGGCCUAUGCCACAGCCACAGCAAUGCAGGAUCCAAGCCACAUCUGCGACCUACACAACAGCUCAGAGCAAUGCCAGAUCCCUGACCCACUGAGUAAGACCAGGGAUCAAACCCUCAUCCUCAUGGAUACUAGUUGGAUUCACUUCUGCAGCACCACAAUGGGAACUUCUGAUGGGCAAAUCCUAUACCUCCUAGAUACUGCUCCAGUCCCUACAAUUGAGCCAUUUAAUUGCUCUGUGCAGCAACAGAAAUAGAAAUAGAUCAGUCCUAUUUCUCUGUAUUUUUGUUAAGGGUGAACAAUCACUACUUACACCUAGACUACAGAAUUUGAGUUUUUGGGAGUUCCCGUCGUGGCGAAGUGGUUAACGAAUCCGACUAGGAACCAUGAGGUUGCGGGUUCGGUCCUUGCCCUCGCUCAGUGGGUUGAGGAUCCGGCAUUGCCAUGAGCUGUGGUGUAGGUCACAGACGUGACUUGGAUCCUGCGCUGCUGUGGCUGUGGCGUGGGCCAGCAGCUACAGCUCCAAUUUGACCUCUAGCCUAGGAACCUCCAUAUGCUGCGGGUAUGGCACUAAAAAGAAAAAAAGAAAAAAACAAAAAACAAAAAACAAAAAACAAUUACACAGACCAAAGGGGACUACAGAGUUGUGACAGUAAAGCUACAACUUUGGCCCCAAGUUCCUAGAGGCAUAAAAAGAGAAACAGCUACCUCCAUAAGAAGAAACUAUACCCUUUUACCUGAUUUGCUCAAGACUGCCCAAUUAAAAGGCAAAUGGCUUGGGGCUGGCAUAUGUACACUUGGUAUACAGAAUGACUUGUCCAAUGGGGUCCUGCUGUACAACACAGGGAACUCUACCCAAUAUUCUGUGAUUAUCUACAUGGGAAAAGAACCUGAAAAAGAAUGGAUAUGCGUAUAUGUAUAACUGAAUCACUUGGUGCACAGCAGAAAUUAUCACAACACUGUAAAUAAACUAUAUUUCAAUAAAACUCUGAAAAAUGGAAAAAAAAAAAAAGGCAGUUAGCAUCCCAUUAUCAGCAUGGAAUGAUAGAAACGGACCUGAACAAUGAAUCAAGAAACCUAGUCAUUAGAGUACUAGCUCUUCUGCUAACUGCAAACCCAAGGCAGAUCAUUUAAAUUCUCUGAGCCUCACUUUCUUGACUAUACAUACAGUAGGUGCGGUUCACGGAGCCAGGGUCAACAAUACAGAGCUUUUGUGCUAUCAUUCUUCAACCCAGCAUACCCUGACAGACAUUGACAAUUAAUCACAGAAUUUUUUUCUGCUGAAUCCCGAAGAGACCGCAAAAUCUCGCUCAACAGUGUCCUAAGAAACCACCAAUGAGUCAACAUGGGCAUUCUGACCCUAGAGGUACUUUAGAGUACCUCCAGUGCACUCAUGCUAUCAUGCAUACUAUCGUGCAGUGAGCGUGGUCUCUGGCAUGGCUUGUGGCAUCCUUUCUGAAUGAGAAAUGCUGAGGGGGGUUGACUAAAGCUGCUAAGGCAGGCAGAUAUGGAACAAAACUCCUUUUGGAGUUAUUUUUAAACUGCUAAAAAUACUUGGAAAUAUUAAAAUUAAAACUCACAGGAGUCAAAAUACACCGCUGAUUAAAAUAAAAUACUUCCAAAUGAUCUACCAGAGGAAAUCCAGGAAAGGCACAGCAGCAAUGUACCAAGCGGAAAAUCUUUAGAAGCAAUUCAAAUUUCAAAGACUCUUUCUUUUGUUCUAUUUUAGAAUUUGUAGGAUGAGCAUUUCUACAAAUUGCUCUACACAAAAGUAGAGAGAAUAGUACAACAAACUUGUGUGCACCACCACUCAGUUUCUACAAUCAUCAACAUUUUGUCACAGGAUUUAACUUUUAUUUUUUGGUUGGGCGGUUUUUUUUGGUUUCUAGGGUUGUACCCACGGCAUAUAGAAGUUUCCAGGCUAGGGGUCUAAACCGAGCUACAGCUGCCGGCGGUAUACCACAGCCACAUCAACGCCAGAUCCGAGGCACGUAUGUGACCUACACCACAUCUCAUAGCAACAUCAGGUCCUUUAACUCACUGAGUGAGGCCAGGGACAUCCUCAUGGAUACUAGUUGGGUUCAUUUCCGCUAAGACACAACAGGAACUCUGUCAUAGGAUUUAACUUUAAAAGUCAAGCCUUCUGGAGCUAGACUUCAAAUUCUUAUGGUAAAAUACAGCUUCCUCCAGAAAUACACUCACACAUACAUUAAUGUAUGGACACACACACCCAUUACAAACAAUAACUUUCCAAGUAAUAUGGAGAAACAAGCUGGAGGGAUAUCUGUUCUCUAGACCUUUGCUACUCAAAUGGUGGUCCCUGGUCACAGUGUUGGUAUUACCUGAGAGCUUAUUAGAAAUGCAAAAUCUUGGGCCCAUUUCAAAUUUACUGAGUCGUAAUUUGCAUUCUAACAAAAUCACCAGGUUACUAGUCUGCACAAUAAGGUUUAAAAAAGUACUGCUCUACUCUGGACCACCAUAACUGUCCCCUGCAAAGCUUUUCCUAACUGACUCAGAGGAGCCGGGCAAGAAACUGAAGUGUGAAAAAUAGUGUCCAUUUCACUUGGAAGAGCAAUGUGCCAUUAACUAAGCAAAUUUAAAGGUAUAUAAUUUACGACCUAGCAAUUCCACUUCUCAAUACCUACACUGGAGAAAUAUUCACCCAUAUGCUUAAGUAGGAUGUUACGAAAAUGUCUAUCACAGCAAAAAAGAAACCUAAGUACCUAUCAAAAAGUGAAUGGUGAAACAAACCAGUACAGAACAGUCAGCAGAGGUUAAAGUGAAUGAACCAGAUCAUGCAAAGUUCUUCUGAACAUGUUGAGAGAAAAAAGUUGCAAAAAGUUCCCCUUAGUAUAACAACAUUUGUUUAAAACAAAAGAAAGCAUGUGCAAAGGAAGAGCAAAGGUCUGGAAGGAGAUACCAAAAGGAAAUGGUGGCUACAUUUGGAAAGAGAUAAAGAGAACUGGGAUUAGAGGUGGAGUAUUGAAGGAAGAUUAUAAUAUUUUACAUAUUUGCUUAUUUAUUGAAAAGAAAAUGCACUCAUGUAUCACAUGUGGGACAAAUAUUUUUUAAGUGGCUCUAUGAUUUCUUAUACCAAAUGAGCUUAUGUAGAGAAAAUAUGGUCAGAGUAAGGGUACACAAAGAUGGAUAGAAAGUUUAAAGACCUUUGACAAACUGCAGGUAUUUAGAAAUGAGUUUUGUUUGCAUGGACCAUUUUCUCUGUUUUCUUCAAUUCAUGCAUACACCUGGUACAGCAAGGCAUAUUUUGCAAAAUUUAAAAAUGUCUUCAGAGUUCCCAUAAUGGCCCAGUGGAAACGAAUCCAACUAGUAACCAUGAAUUUGCAGGUUUGAUCCCUGGCCUUGCUCAGUGGGUUAAGGAUCCGGCAUUGCUGUGGCUGUGGUUGGCAGCUAUAGCUCCGAUUCAACCCCGAGCCUGGGAAGUUCCAUAUGCCGCCGGUGUGGCUCUUAAAAAAAAACAAAAAUUAAAAAAUAAAUAAAUAAAAAUAGAAAAGUCUUCAAGAGUAGUAUGUUCAUUUUCCCGUGUACUUCAUAUUUCCUUCAUCUGUUCACCCACUAUUUGAAAACAGCUUAUAUAUGUGAUUGUUUCUAUUGCUGCAUGUUCUACGUUCCUAGUUUAACAGAUGAUGAUGCACACCAGCUAAAUGAAUAACUCAUGAGUCUAAGCAUAAUAAUAGCUUUUAAAAAUUCCAAAGAAGUAGGCAGAGCACGUAUUGUCCUAAUUUUAUAGCCGAAGAAAGGCUCAGAAAAGUUGGAUGAUGUGCCCAAGGACCUUCUAGCUAGGAGGUAGCAAACCCAGACCUGGGCUCUCUUUGUGAUUCCAAGUCCUCUGUCCUUUCAAUUAAUUAUACCACACCUGCCAUGCCACCAUAUAUAAAGAUGAUACUCACUUAUGCUUUUAGGCAAUUCUUUAGAUAGCUUUAGAUUGGAAAUUCUCAUGAGAAAUAUUAGAAUUCAAAUAAUAUGCACACUCUGGGGAUCUCAUAUCCAGUUAUUUACUUUGAGUUCCUUUUCCAAUACCUUGCCUUGACCAGGCCAAGGAGAAAAGACUGAAAAAAGUACCACCACACUCUCCCCAUCAUGAAGUAGAAAAAGGAUGUACUCUAGCCACUCUGAGUUUUAAAGCUGUGUCUGUUCUAAUGUAUAUGGGAAAAAAAGUAUAAAAGUGGAUAAUACAUACCCAUCUCCCAGCUUCACCAAUUAUCAUUGUCCACUAGAAAAAUCCUACUGAUGGAGCUCCCGUUGUGGCUCAGCUGGUUAAGAACCUGACAUAGUGUCUGUGAGGAUGUGAGUUCAGUCCCAGGCCUCACUCCAUGGGUUAAGGAUCCAGCAUUGCCACAAGCUGUGGCAAAGGCUGCAGACAUGGCUUGGAUCUAGUGUUGCUUUGGCUGUGGGGUAGGCCGGCAGCUGCAGCUCUGAUUCAGCCCCUUAGCCUGGGAACUUCCAUACGCCACAGGUGUGGCUAUAAAAAAGGAGAACAAACAAACAAACAAAACUAAUGACAAUCUGGUUGUCUAUCCUUAAUAAAGGAAAGUGGUCAGAUACUUGGAAGCUUCUCAGGGGAGACAGUCUCAAUCUAAUAGGCUUUGUGAAGUUAAAUGUUUUUUUAAAGUUUGAAGUUAACAGGGUUAAAAGCUCACACACUAGACCUUAGAUAUCAAGAUAAUACAACUGACUUCUCGAUCCUCUUAAGCACUAUGGCUACAGAAGAGCUGUUCUGGACACACAUGCCUCUAUUUAUAGCGGCGAGCACCAAGUCUUAUGGGAAAAGCUCCUAAACCAUUUAAAAAUCAAACUAUUUUAAGCAUCUUACAACUUUCUAAGAAUUUUUGUUUGUUGGUUUUAACAUUGUUCCCAAAAGUUGGGUCAUAAAUUGUGUAUGUGUGCUUGCGCACGCGCGUGUGUGCCUAUUUUGGGGAAAUAUGCAAGAUGAGGUUAGUGGGUUUGAAGCAUUAAAGUCUCCAUGGAGAGCUCUACCAGGGAUAAAAUCCUGGGGGUUCACUGUAUGGCUAAGAAACGAAUUAGCUGCCUUAAAAUGUUUUAUUUUUUUUAAAAGAAUUGGGCAGAAUUUAUAUACUGUUAAAAAAAUCUGAGUCAAGCACAGCUUCAUUUCAAAUAUUAGGCAUAUUUCCCAUAACCGUUUAAAACAUAUAUGUACUGAUGUUGGGAACUUACUAAAUUUAAACCCUGACAUAGCAGAGUAAGGCAAGUCCUUCCUCCUUCUUUCGGGGAGGGAAGAGUGAAAGAGAUUGCCCCAGUAGAGAGGACUUUGAAAAACACCCUCUAUGUGGCAGGAACUAUUUAAUCAUGUGAGAAUUUCUAGCCCUCCCCCUUCUUUUGGAUGAGUGAGAAAUUGUUGAAGAUGUUUAAAACCUGCUUGGGAUGGCAUCUAACUUCCAACAUUAGUCUGUCUGACUACCCCUUCUAUUACACUGAAAUACAACUAGGCCAAUGGCACCAUGUGUUUUCUUCGGUCUUAAAAUGGGUUUUACUGACCAUCCCAUUCCUGCUUGGAAUUAAUCUUUGGAUCAUGGCUUUCUCUAAUGUGCCAUGUUUUGUUUUGUUUCUCAUUUUUGGCUGCCCCGCAGUAUAUGGAGUUCCCAGGCCAGAGAUCAGAUCCGAGCUGAAGCUUUGGCAACACUGGAUACUUAACACACUGUGCUGGGCCAGGGUUUAAACCUGUGUCCCAGCACUCCCAAGAGGCCACCAAUCCCACUGUGCCACAGUGGGAGCUCCUAACAUGCCAUGCUUUUAAAGUUCACAUUCAGUUAGGUGGUCAGCAAAAAAUACUUAUUCCUGGUCAUUUUAUUCCAUCACCAGAAGCUCAGAAUUGUAAAUUGGUGGGCACAACUAUACUGGUCUUAUCUAAAAAUAAAUGCAUGACUGAGUCCCCACAGCGAGUAGAAUAAGU